rnacentral:lncRNA from 1 species
GUCCUCCAAUACGCCACCUGCUCCCAUCCAUUCAGCACCGCCACCCGCUUCAGCACCUGCUCGUCGGCCGCCGCCGUGCGGAGCCACCUGCCCAGCUCUUCGCCCCGCCUGCCUACGCCUAUCACAGCCACGCACCACUUCGCCUCCCCCUGCCCAUUGCCUCCUACACAAUCGCCUUGAAUCACAGGAGCUGCAUCUCAUCUCUCUCCCUGUAGUGAUGGUCACGGGCUGAUGUUGCUGCUCCUCUCCAUCAGGAUCUAUCUCUUUCUCUUUGUCUCUAUCUCUCUCUCAUGGAUCGGCAACUGCAUUCUUCCCAAAUAUGUGUGCCCCUCUGCUCUGGAUAUUACGCCCACAACAUGUUUGAUGUUAUGCUUAUGAGGAGUUGAACUUCAAUUUUUUCAAGUUUUUCUUUUGUGUAUCAGGCAUUCAGGCCUGGUGUAAUUUCUUUUCAGAAGUGAACAUGUUGUACAGUCCAAUGUAUCUAGGAAAAUUAAGUUAUGGAGAGUUGUUCAUCAUGUUGCUUGCAUAUUUUUUUGUCUAACAAACUAGAUACUUCAAUUUUGGAUAUAAACAUUGAGUAGGUGCUGAAAUAUUUCGCUAAUAAUAGUUUCCAACUUGCUUUUUAGCAGAACUACAGAACUAUUUGCAGCUUUUAAUUAUGUGUACUUAAAAUGGAUUUGGUGUCCAGGACAUGUGGAGUUGAUAUCAAGUUGAAUUAUGUGCUGAUGUUCUUCGAUAGAAUAAUUGUUCUUCUCCUUUAAAAAUGAUGGACCAUUGACUUAUUUUUUUUAGAUGCUCAAAUACACACACAAACGACAUCCAGUAAGCACUUGGACACCCGGCAGAUUGAAAGUACAGAAGCAAAGAUAUCCAAUACGAGGCCACGAUGCCCGACAGAGACACGGCCAAUACGCUCCUAAUCUUUAUUUCUUGAUUUUGGAACCACAAGUAAGAGCAUGUUCAUGUUUACUUAUUAUGUUUUUUUUGGAGAAAUUUUGGGGAUUUACAAGCUGAAAUUAUUGACUGUUUGAAAAAAAUGUUUUAACCAAAACUGUUUGAACAAUGUUGCCCUGGUUCUGCAUUCAUGGAAUUGCUAAAAAAGUUGAACAAGUUCAGUCAGAGUUUUGUCCCUGUUAAUAUUCAGUUCGAAGUGCCAGUUUGUUUCCACUUGCUCAUCUUAAUGUUGAACUAUACAUGUACUUAUCUUUAAAGUUCUGUUGUCUUCAUGAACUAAUUAGAUUUUUCAGCACUACUGAACUAAUUGGAUGCCAUCUUAAAUUACCUUCCCUUUGACAUUAUUGUACAGAUUCCUGAAAGACUGCCCAGUGUUUCAGCUGCGUACAUGUCUACAACAAUACUAGCAGAUCUGAAUUUGUGUUGCUAAGGUGUAGACUGACCUGACUUCGAGGGAAAAACAUGAAGAUUAGAGUGCCCUUUUUUCCCUUCCAAUUCCAUUUUCAGCAGCUAUCAGACAUGCAUAGAAAAUGUACUUUUGAGUACUUACAAUAUUAUUUUGCUACCUGCAGAGUUGUUCGAGUGGUAAUUUGUUUUACAAAUUUCUACAACAGGUUGCAUCAGCGGUUCACAACGGAGGAAGCUGUGGCGACUGCUACUGCGGCAACAAGGCGCUAGCUAGCUAGGUGUACCUGAAACAAUAAGUUUGCUUUUCACUUCAGAAUUCGGAGGAAGUCAACGUUUGUUUUGUAGUUCAAACCAACCACUGGUUGAA